GCAGAAUUAGUUCAGCGGUAGAAUACAACCUUGCCAAGGUUGGGGUCGCGGGUUCGAAUCCCGUCUUCUGCUCCA
rnacentral:tRNA from 1 species